rnacentral:sRNA from 1 species
UCACUGAGCUUGACAGGUCCACGUUGAAAC